UACGUAGGCAGCAAGCGUUGUUCGGAGUUACUGGGCGUAAAGAGUGCGUAGGCGGUGUCGAAAGUUUGGCGUGAAAUCUCCCGGCUUAACUGGGAGGGUGCGCCGAAAACUGCGAUGCUGGAGUGUGGGAAAGGCAAGCGGAAUUCCUGGUGUAGCGGUGAAAUGCGUAGAUAUCAGGAGGAACACCAAUUGCGAAGGCAGCUCGCUGGGACGUUACUGACGCUGAGACGCGAAAGCGUGGGGAGCAAACAGG
rnacentral:rRNA from 1 species